UGUACUUUGGCUGUGACGCAGAUUUUAAAAAGUUGAUGCUGAUGAGGAGUCGUGUCAUGCCUGCGUGUUUCUUAUGUCGUGCACUUUGUAGUGCUUUUCAAAGCUGUGAAGGAGGAGUGGUGUCGUGCCGGAUCAGUACAGAUUUCCUUUAAAAUCACUGUGUGUUUCUGUUUUCGCGCACUUUUAAGUGCUUGCCAGUGCUGAAGGAAGGAUGGUGUCGUGCCUAAUCAAUCUAGCUGUACUAUAAAAUAACUGGUUGUUUAUGAUGUCGUCAUGCACUUUGUGUUGCUUUUCAAAGCCGAUGCGAAGGAGUGCUGUCGUGCCUGAACAA